AGCUACGCAUACUUUGAUUAUUGGGGCCAAGGAACCAUGGUGACGGUCACUUCAGCUUCCCCUACAGCCCCAACAGUGUUUCCACUAUCUCCUUGUAACCAAGACAUUGCCACCGUUUCCCAAGUUUCCAUCGGUUGUCUCGUCAAAGGCUACUUCCCUCAACCAGCCACAGUGCAAUGGAAUUCAGGCGCUAUCACCAGUGGAAUCCACAACUUCCCUCCAGUUAUGCUCGGAUCCAACUACUAUACUCACAGCAGCCAGCUCACCAUCCCCGUCAGCAAGUGGCAAUCCGAGACAUUUGAGUGCAACGUCAACCAUGCAGCAACCAGCACCAGAAUUAACAAAAGAAUUGACCGCUCUGAAGCCCGUAGUCCUGCGGGCCCCGAGGUCCACGUAUUCCAUUCUUCAUGCGGUUCCAAAGAUGGGUCCAUACAGCUGUGGUGCCAGAUUUCAGGCUUCUACCCCAAACCAUUGGAAAUUCAAUGGAAGGUGGGCAGCCGCUCUGGAUUGCUGCGUCCAUACAAUUAUCCUCCUUGGCAGAAUCCUGGCACAUAUACUUUCAGUACCGCCAGCGUAGUCAACAUCACCCAACAAGACUGGCUGGAAGGAAAUGUUUAUUACUGCGAAGUCACCCACGCCGCAUCGCAAACCAAGACAAAAAGCAAAGCCAAGAAAUGUGAAGGUGGAAGCGAUUGUCCCUCUGGAGAUAUUAAUGUAUAUAUUCUGCCCCCAACACCAAGAGCCUUGUACAUUGAUAGAAAUAGCAAGAUCAGCUGUGUUGUGAACAAUCUGCAAAAUGAACAGGGGUUGAAAAUUACCUGGUCUCGGGAGAAGAAUGGACACCUGAAUCCUGAUCCAAUUGAAACGAGAGAAGAACCAAAUGGUACCUACACUGCUGAGAGUAAACUCGGCGUCUACUCUCAAGAUUGGGAAUCGGGAGAGGUUUUCACCUGUGUGGUGGAACAUCCAUCCUUUGUUACCCCUGUCACAAAGACAAUUUCCAAGAUCAGAGGCAAGAGCAGUGCACCCAAGGUCUUCGUCUUCCCUCCUCACCGAGAUGAGCUCAACCCAGGCACAACGGUGUCUCUUACCUGCAUGAUAAAUGGUUUUGACCCAGCUGAAGCUGAUGUCCAGUGGCUACGUAAUCACAAUCCCCUGCCAGAAGACAACUAUGCCAGCACUCCAGCUGUGAAGAAUAAACAUGAUAAUACCUUCUUUCGCUACAGCCAACUUAAUGUCCCCAGGGCUGACUGGGAAGCAAAAGGCGAUCUGUUCAGUUGUGUGGUGGUCCAUGAAGCCCUCCCCAUGAAGUUCACCCAGAGGAACAUCUCAAAAACCCAGGGUAAAAAAUGAACCAGCUGCUCCGUUUCAAUCCAUCCUAGAUUUGCCUCUAGCACUGUCAGACCAAACUGUUCAUGAUUUCCCAGCUCACCCAUUUCACAUCUGGAUGAAUAAAAAGCAACCCAUCUCAGAAAUA